UACGUAGGCGGAUAUUUAAGUCAGAUGUGAAAGCCCCGGGCUCAACCUGGGAACUGCAUCUGAUACUGGGUGUCUAGAGUAUGGCAGAGGAUAGUGGAAUUUCAGGUGUAGCGGUGAAGUGCGUAGAUAUCUGAAGGAACACCAGUGGCGAAGGCGACUGUCUGGGCCAAUACUGACGCUGAGGUACGAAAGCAUGGGUAGCGAACAGGAUUAGAUACCCUGGUAGUC
rnacentral:rRNA from 1 species